GUGGGGAAUUUUGGACAAUGGGCGCAAGCCUGAUCCAGCCAUUCCGCGUGCAGGAUGAAGGCCUUCGGGUUGUAAACUGCUUUUGUACGGAACGAAAAGGUUCUCUCUAAUACAGGGGGCUGAUGACGGUACCGUAAGAAUAAGCACCGGCUAACUACGUGCCAGCAGCCGCGGUAAUACGUAGGGUGCAAGCGUUAAUCGGAAUUACUGGGCGUAAAGCGUGCGCAGGCGGUGAUGUAAGACAGAUGUGAAAUCCCCGGGCUCAACCUGGGAACUGCAUUUGUGACUGCAUUGCUGGAGUGCGGCAGAGGGGGAUGGAAUUCCGCGUGUAGCAGUGAAAUGCGUAGAUAUGCGGAGGAACACCGAUGGCGAAGGCAAUCCCCUGGGCCUGCACUGACGCUCAUGCACGAAAGCGUGGGGAGCAAACAGGAUUAGAAACCCUUGUAGUCC
rnacentral:rRNA from 1 species